rnacentral:sRNA from 1 species
GCCAGGUGUGCUGGCACAUGCCUGUAAUCGCAGUGGCUUGGGAGGCUGAGGCAGGGGGAUUGCUGGUUCAAAGCCAGGCUCAGCAACUUAGUGGGGCCCUAAGGAAAUUUAAUGAGACCCUGUCUCUA